rnacentral:rRNA from 1 species
UAGGGAAUCUUCCACAAUGGACGCAAGUCUGAUGGAGCAACGCCGCGUGAGUGAAGAAGGCUUUCGGGUCGUAAAACUCUGUUAUUGAAGAAGAACGUGUGUGACAGUAACUGGUCAUGCAGUGACGGUAUUCAAUCAGAAAGUCACGGCUAACUACGUGCCAGCAGCCGCGGUAAUACGUAGGUGGCAAGCGUUGUCCGGAUUUAUUGGGCGUAAAGCGAGUGCAGGCGGUCUUUUAAGUCUGAUGUGAAAGUCUUCGGCUUAACCGAAGAAGGGCACCGGAAACUGGGAGACUUGAGUGCAGAAGAGGAGAGUGGAACUCCAUGUGUAGCGGUGAAAUGCGUAGAUAUAUGGAAGAACACCAGUGGCGAAGGCGGCUCUCUGGUCUGUAACUGACGCUGAGGCUCGAAAGCGUGGGUAGCAAACAGGAUUAGAUACCCUGGUAGUCCACGCCGUAAACGAU